UACGUAGGGUCCGAGCGUUGUCCGGAAUUACUGGGCGUAAAGAGCUCGUAGGUGGUUUGUCACGUUGUUCGUGAAAACCCACAGCUCAACUGUGGGCGUGCGAGCGAUACGGGCAGACUAGAGUACUGCAGGGGAGACUGGAAUUCCUGGUGUAGCGGUGGAAUGCGCAGAUAUCAGGAGGAACACCAGCGGCGAAGGCGGCGCUCUGGGCCGGUACUGACGCUGAGGAGCGAAAGCGUGGGGAGCAAACAGG
rnacentral:rRNA from 1 species